rnacentral:rRNA from 1 species
UCUUGGACAAUGGGGGAAACCCUGAUCCAGCCAUGCCGCGUGAGUGAUGAAGGCCUUCGGGUUGUAAAACUCUUUCGACGGGGACGAUAAUGACGGUACCCGUAGAAGAAGCUCCGGCUAACUUCGUGCCAGCAGCCGCGGUAAUACGAAGGGGGCUAGCGUUGUUCGGAACUACUGGGCGUAAAGCGCGCGCAGGCGGCUAUCCAAGUCAGUGGUGAAAGCCCGGAGCUCAACUCCGGAACUGCCAUUGAAACUGUUUAGCUUGAGGACGAGAGAGGUGAGUGGAAUUCCCAGUGUAGAGGUGAAAUUCGUAGAUAUUGGGAAGAACACCGGUGGCGAAGGCGGCUCACUGGCUCGUAUCUACGUCAGGCGCGAGA